CGCAUGUCUGUCUCUGAGUCGUUAGAGUCCUGGACCAAAGGUGGCCUCUACAUGUAAGCUAUCGCGUUGGGAUGGGCCCAGUUAGGAUUAGCUAGUUGGUAAGGUAAUGGCUUACCAAGGCAACGAUCCUUAGCUGGUUUGAGAGGAUGAUCAGCCACACUGGGACUGAGACACGGCCCAGACUCCUACGGGAGGCAGCAGUGGGGAAUAUUGCACAAUGGGGGAGACCCUGAUGCAGCCAUGCCGCGUGUGUGAAGAAGGCCUUCGGGUUGUAAAGCACUUUCAGCAGUGAGGAAGGUCGUGUACUUAAUACGUGCACGGCUUGACGUUAGCUGCAGAAGAAGCACCGGCUAACUCCGUGCCAGCAGCCGCGGUAAUACGGAGGGUGCGAGCGUUAAUCGGAAUUACUGGGCGUAAAGCGCAUGCAGGCGGUUUGUUAAGUCAGAUGUGAAAGCCCGGGGCUCAACCUCGGGAACGCAUUUGAAACUGGCAGGCUAGAGUCUUGUAGAGGGGGGUAGAAUUUCAGGUGUAGCGGUGAAAUGCGUAGAGAUCUGAAGGAAUACCAGUGGCGAAGGCGGCCCCCUGGACAAAGACUGACGCUCAGAUGCCAAAGCGUGGGUAGCAAACAGGAUUAGAUACCCUGGUAGUCCACCCCUUAAGCUUCAACUUUGA
rnacentral:rRNA from 1 species